CGGCUCCCGCAACCCAUGGGCGGCCACUGCGCAGGCGCCUCUCGUGGCUGGCGGCCCCGCCCCGCCCCGCCCCGCCCCGACCCGCCCCGACUGGCUGCUCCAUGGCGCUGUGCGAGGCCGCGGGCUGCGGGAGCGCCCUGCUCUGGCCUCGCUUGUUGCUCUUCGGGGACUCCAUCACCCAGGUACGGCCGCCCCGGCCUCCCUGCGGGGUCGCUGCCGAGCAGGCCGAGGCUCCUCGCCGUCCUCUUCGGCGCCCGAGACGGCUGGGCCGGAGGCCUGGCCACGCCCGUGGCGACACCGGAGGAGUGGCGGGUCCCCCAGUGGCUGCGCCUUCCGGGCCCGCGGCGUCCCGGAGGUCACGACGGCGUCCGCGAGAGCCCGGGCUCCAGGCACAGACGCGAGGGGACCCGGCCGCGCUGCCCGCCCCGCGCCGCCUCCCACCCGGGUCGAGAUGCGCGGUCUUCCCCUCAGCGCCCUCCUGGGCAGCGGCCUUUCCCCUCCGGGGCCGGGUUAGCGGCUGCGGGCGACCGCGCGCUGUGUCCCAGGAGGCCCCGCGGCCAGCUCCGGGCAGAGGCGCCGGGAACUCUCUCGCCCCAUUCCCUGCGGACACAGUUUUCCUUCCAGCAGGGUGGAUGGGGAGCAUCGCUGGCUGACAGGCUGGUCAGAAAAUGUGAUGUUCUGAAUCGUGGAUUUUCAGGUUACAAUACCAGAUGGGCCAAAAUUAUCCUUCCAAGAUUAAUCAGGAAAGGAAGCAGUUUGGACAUCCCAGUAGCAGUUACAAUUUUCUUUGGGGCCAAUGACAGUGCACUAAAAGAUGAGAAUCCCAAGCAGCACAUUCCCCUGGAGGAGUACGCUGCGAACCUAAAGAGCAUGGUGCAGUACCUGAAGUCUGUGGACGUCCCUGAGAAUCGAGUCAUUCUCAUCACGCCGACCCCACUUUGUGAAACAGCCUGGGAAGAACAGUGCAUCAUACAGGGUUGCAAACUAAAUCGCCUGAACUCUGUUGUUGGUGAAUAUGCCAAUGCGUGUUUACAAGUGGCCCAAGACUGUGGGACUGACGUACUUGACCUGUGGACCCUGAUGCAGGACAGCCAGGACUUCUCAUCUUACUUAUCAGAUGGACUACAUUUGUCUCCAAAGGGGAAUGAAUUUUUGUUCUCGCAUCUCUGGCCUUUGAUAGAGAAAAAGGUCUCUUCUCUACCUUUGCUGCUUCCUUACUGGCGGGAUGUAGCAGAAGCAAAACCUGAAUUAAGUCUGCUGGGAGAUGGAGACCAUUAGCCAAUCACAGGAGACCCAAAUCUGCUUGUUAUCUACAGAACUCAAAGUUGUCAAUACGUAGAGCAUCGACGUAGGGCACACAGCGGCCGGAAAGGUCCCUGCAGCACACCUUGCAGGAGUUGUCAGUUUCUGGAACAGAGAACACGCAUUGACAGCUGGAUUGUUCUGAGACCUGCCUCUCCUCCUGCCUCCUCUUUCCUCCCUGACCAUGCUCCCAAAGAGGUAAGAAAUCACAUUUUUUAUUUAAAUAGCUAAUACCAUCCAUACCCCCCACCAAGGAGUAGUUUCUGAGGUCACACUCCUCAGCCCUCAGUGACAGAGGCCACAAGGUUUAAAAAAAAAUGCAGAGAAAAAUCCGUUCUAGAUUAAAGGCCUCUCUUAAAAGUCUAACUGUUCUCUCCACUUCAAGCCCCUCACAAUGCUCUUCUAAAUGCUUCCCUUUGUCCCAACUUUCUGGUUACCCUGCUGACUUCAAUCCUUGGUUUUUCAGUCUAAAGUGUGCCCCUCAGGGCCCACACUGGCUCCCUGAAAGCGAGAGCAGCUGGGACACAACUGUCCACCCUUGGGUGGGGAGCUCAGUGACCCCAGGAGCAUGAGCCCUGCAGCCAAAGCUCCACAACUCCUCCCAAGAACAGCUCUGACAGGUCACAGGAUAAAACACCGGGCAUCUGUGAGCCAUGUGGGCAUACAUAGGAAUGGCAGAAAUGCCAGAAAAUUAAACCAUACUUAGGAGAAAAAGAAAUCAACUAGAACACAAAAACAAGCAAAAAGAAACCUUUUCAGAAAAGGCCGGGAGCAGUGGCUCUCGCUUGUAAUUCCAGCACUUUGGGAGGCCAAGGCGGACAGAUCACUUGAGGCCAGGAGUUCGAGAACAGCCUGGUCAACAUGGCAAAACCCCAUCCCUACUAAAAAUAAAAAAAAUUCGCCAGGUGUGGUGGUGCUUGCCUGUAGUCCCAGCUACUCAGGAGGCUGAGGCACGAGAAUCACUUGAACCCGGGAGGCGGAGGCUGCAGUGACCUGAGAUCGCGCCACUGCACUCCAGCCUGGGAGAGAGUGAGACUCCAUCUCAAAAACAAAAAAGAAAACCUUUUCAUCAUUCACUAAUUUAUAAAAUAUUUCUUGGACUUUUACUGUGUCGGGCUCUGUCCUUCCAGAGCACCCCAAGCCUCUUGCCAUUCAAUAAAACAAAUUGUUUUAUUUGGCAUCUACUAUGUGUUACCUUUUUUUUUUUUUUUUUUUUUUUAAGAGAUGAGGUUUCACAGUGUUGCCCAGGCUGGUCUCAAACAACUCCUGAGCUCAAGUGAUCCACCCACCUUGGCCUCCCAAAGUGCUGGGAUUAUAGAUGUGAGACACUGCCCUCAACCUAUCUCCUUUACCUACACAUUAUUGAACUUGGAAGAGUUCCUCACUCCACUGUAUGGAUGGUGAGCUUCCAACCCAGUGAUUUUAUUUAACUACCGGGUUGUCUUUUAUUUAUUUUAUUUUUUACUUAUUUAUUUAUUUGAAAUGGAGUCUCGCUCUGUUGCCCAGGCUAGAGUGUAGCGGCGCAAUCUCAGCUCACAGCAACCUCCGCCCCCUGGGUUCAAGCAAUUCUCCUGCCUCAGCCUCCCUAGCAGCUGGGAUUACAGGUGUACGCUACCACGCCCGGCUAAUUUUUUUUAUUUUUAGUAGAGACAGCGUUUUGCCAUGUUGACCAAGCUGCUCUCAAACUCCUGACCUCAAGUGAUCUGCCCACCUCGGCCUCCCAAAGUGAUGGGAUUACAGGUGUGAGUCACCACACCUGGCUCUUUGUCUAUUUUGAAAGCAAGAGAACUCCCUCAUUGACUCCCAUGGUUUAAGUGGGGUGGGAAGCAGAGUCCAGCCAGUCCCUGACCAGUCCAUGAGGAUGCCCUCAAACCCAGGGGUUCCAAAAUAGCACAGAAACCUAAGGAAAACUGACAGGCCAGCAGGAGAGAGGCUCCUGCCCCAGGCUGCUCUAAGAGAUCAGAGGGGAGCGGACCCAGCCUUCUUGAUAACUGCAAAAAUCCUCAUCUAGUGGGGUUAGGUCCUGGAAUCAGCUCUCUCUGGUGGAGUUGUUGCAGGAGUAUCCUAGUUCCAUGCCAAUGUAAUGUAGAUAGCUAUUGCUGCUUUCGUGGUUUGUAUGAUAUGGAGCAGAGGAAGGCUAGGACACACCUCUACCUACCCACCCACUCACCCCCAACAAAAUUCCCUCCUCUCCCACCUCAAAGCCUGCCAUAUGGCCUGAAACUGCAGCAAGAAGAAACACCAACAGGAUAGGUCUCCCAGGUAUGGUGGAUCUGCAUGCAGAGAUGCCUGUCUCCAGACACCACCCUGCCCUUCCCCCUCCCCUCAUCCUCGGCUUGGAUCUCACCACUGCUGUCAUUAGCACGACCUCCAAAUGGAGGAAGGGAGCCUGGCAGACAAAGGCCAUGUUUUCUCCUGCUGCUGGACUGGGCAUAAAACUGCUCACCAUUACACGCACAGGACUCCAGCUGCUGUUCCCUCUCGCAGAAAGGGAUGCAUUUCCCAUCCUUACACUUGCCAAGAUCCAAGCAAACAGUGUCAUCUUCAGCAUUUCCCGGAGGCGGGCACUCACUGCUAUUACCUGGAAGCAAACACCAGUCAUAACAAAAAGAAUGAGUCACAGGUCCACCAGUUCUACAGGUGCAUAAUACGCUGUUUCUCAUACAAGUGAGCAUCUUACCUUGCAAAAGCAAAAAGUGACCUACAGAGCUAGGACAAGAGCCUGCAUCUCACCAGCAAUCAGCAUUUAAAUGGGAGUGCCUGGCUAUGUGCCAGGCUAGGCUGCAUGAGUCCCUGGCCUCCCAAGCCCCAGUUAGAAUGCAUGGUCUCCACUUCUGCAUCUCACAGUCAUAUAUAAAAGAAUAUCCUAUGUGCUAUUACUUAGAAUAAAUUGCAAACUUUGUAUGAAGGCUUGAAAGAACUCCACGGCCUUCCCUAUCUGGCCCUGACUUCAUCGCACACAACUCUCCCACAGCCCACGGCUUUGGCUAUGACAACCUCCAUUCAGUUCCUUCAAUAUUAACAGAUACUAUUCCUUCUACCUGGAAUGCUGGUGUUUCCACUCUUUGGGGGCAAUUAGCUGGCUUUUCUUAUGGAUUAAGUUUUGUCUCAAAGGUUUUCUGAGAUAUCCCUGAGGAUGCUAAGUUGAUGUGGCCUCCCCACUUCCAUUAUGCACUAUCACACUCCUUCUCUCCUUCAUUGCAUAUGUUUUGCAAUUUAUAUAUAUAUAUAUAUAUAUGUAUAUUUAAUGUUAUUUUGUUUUCCCUCUACUAGACUGGUAAGCCCCAUGACAGCAAUGAUCAAAUCUAUUAAGUUAUCUCCAAUCCCUAUCAUAUUAUAGGUAUACUACAAAUAUUUCUUAAAUAAAUCAAUUAUUCUUUUUAUUUUUCUUUUGAGACAGGGUCUCAGUCUGUCACCCAGGCUGGAAGGCAGGGGUGUGAUCAUAGCUUACUGCAGCCUCAAACUCCUAGGUUCAGGCAAUCCUCCUGCCUCAGCCUCACAAGUACCUAGGAUUUCAGGCGUAUGCCACCAUACCUGGCUAAUUUUCUUUCUUUUUUUUUGAGAGAUGAGAUCUCCCUGUGUUGCCCAUGCUGGUGUCAAACUGCCGGGCUCAAGGGAUCCUCCCACCUUGGCCUUCCAAAUGCUGGAAUGAUAGGCAUGAGCCACUGUGCCCAGGCCAAUAAUGCCAAAGAAAACCCACCAAAGAAAGUUAAACUGGGAGAGACAGGAUGGAAUGAGUGAAUCAUUCUGGAAAAUGAAUAGCACAAGUAGCUAAAAGUCAACACAAAUAGAGGAGGAGAAAAAAAACACUUUAUGAAAGCAAUGGACUAUAUAUCCACAGCUCUGGACUGGCCUUUCAGUUGAAGAAUGAAGCCAAUCAAAAGAAUUCUGACUUAGAGGGUUUCAGAGCAGUAACACAAAAUGUACAGAAAAUCUGGCCAGUUUCAAACAAAAGUGAUGGUUUAUUAAGUACCCAACAGAUAACCAGGCACUUUGCCUCUGUUCUCAUAAAACCUUUCAUGAGCACUGGGCAUUCAUCGUAUCAACAGUCAUUUAACAAACUAUUACUGAAAGUAUGAUGUCCAGUGAGCUCAGGGAAGGUUUAUAUUGUGGAUCAUUAUUGUAUUUUUGGUAUAUGAUACUGCCCUGAUACAUUAAAAAAAUGCUCAAUAAAUAUCUGUUGAGCAUCUGUUCUUAAAAGACUAAAGUCAGAGUAUUAGACAGGUAGGAAAAUAAUUCUGAAAAUGGUAUCAUCUAUCUAGCAUGGUCCCCAAAGUUUAGCAUGCAUGGAAAUCACCUGACAGAAGGUUACACAGCACAGACUGCUGGCCUCCCUUCCCACAUCUUUUGAUGCAGUAGAUCCAGGGAGGGGACUGACAAUUUCCAUUUCUAAUAAGUUCCCAGGUGAUGUUGCUGCUGCUGGUUGUGAAAUGCUAAUUGCUUUUUUUUUUUUUUUUUUUUUUUUUUUUUUUUUUUUUGAGGUUGUUGUUCUCUAGCUUUUCUUGCUAGAAAAUACUGAUUUCUUAUCAGGAACUUAUCCUCUGCUAUCUACUAUUUUGUAUAAAAUAUCAAGGGAACAAAAAGCUGUUUGAUAAGAACAAACAUGUUUUCAAAUUGUUUUACUUAACGUUUAUUUAAAAGAAAGCAUUUUUCUCAAUCUAUUUUAUUAUUACAGUGAAGAUGAAACAUUGAGCAUAGCUAGCAAAUGCUUCUUUAAAGCUUGAUUUAGAUAUUCAGGUUCCUAACAUUUGUUUUUUUGGUUUUUUUUUGAGACGGAGUCUUGCUCUGUUGCCCAGGCUGAGUGCAGUGGCGUGAUCUCGGCUCACUGCAAGCUCCGCCUCCCGGGUUCACGCCAUUCUCCUGCCUCAGCCUCCCAAGUAGCUGGGACUACAGGCGCCCGCCACCACGCCCGGCUAAUUUUUUGUGUCUUUUCAUAGACACAGGGUUUCACCGUGUUAACCAGGAUGGUCUGGAUCUCCUGACCUCGUGAUCUGCCCACCUCAGCCUCCCAAAGUGCUAGGAUUACAGGUGUGAGCCACCGUGCUGGGCCAUCAGGUUCCUAACAUUUGGCAAACUAAUGUGAUAGUGACAGAUCCGAAAAGAUAAAAACAUGGGCAACAUGUCAUAAUAUGCACAUGGAAAACCAAAGUCAAGCCAAAAUAGGACACAACUUCAUUCACUAGGUCCCUGAAGACCUCCAGCUUUCUGUUUGCAUCCUUAUCACAAAACCUAGGAUAGUUACAAUAAAGAAGAUAAUAACAAGUGUUGGUGAGGAUAUGGAGAAGCUGGGACCCUCAUACAAUGCUGCUGAGACUGUAAAAUGGUGUAGCCAUUUUGGAAAACAGUCUGACAGCUCCUCAAAAGAUUAGGCAUAGUUACCACAUGACCCAGAAAUUCUAUUCCUGAAUAAUAUCCAAAGGAAUUGUCCACACAAAAACUCAUACAUAAAUGUUCACAGCAGCAUUAUUUGUUAUAGCAAAAAAGUGGAAGCAACCCAAAUGUCUAUCAACCAAUGAAUGAAUAAACAAAAUGUGGCAUAUCCAUGCAAUGGAAUAUUACCCAGCAAUAAAAGUACAUGAAGUACUGAUACAUGCUACAACAUACAUGAACCUUGAAAAUGCUAUGUUCAGUGAAAGAAGCCAGUCAUACAAUAUGUGGUCACGAAACCAUAUUGUAUAAUUCCAUUUAUAUGAAAUGUUCAAAACAGACAACUCCAUAAAGAAUAGGGUGGUUAGUGGUUGCUCUGAGUUGUGAGGAAUGGGGAGAUUGGAGGAUCAUAGCUAAAGGAUACAGGGUUUCUUUCUGGAGUAAUGUAAAUGUUCUAAAAUUAAUUGUGGUGAUGACUGCAUAAAUCUGAAUAUACUAAAAAUCAUUAAACUGUAUACUUUAAAUGGGCAAACUGCAUGAGUGUGAAUUAUGUAUCAAUAAAGCUAUUACAAAAUCAAACCAACCAACCAAGAGAGACAAAUUUUGAAAAAUAUAAGAAUGGGACAGAUAUAUCAGAGGAACAAAAAAACUAGAAUAGCAAACUGAAUAUUGCUUUUUGACAAUUUAAGUCAAAAAACAUCGCAAGGGUAAAAAAGGAACAUUAUAUACUGGUAAGGAACAGCAGAUAAAGAUGUAGAGAUAUGUCCGUUUAUAUACCUAGUAAUAACAUAGCUUUGAAAUUUUUAAAGCAACAAUUGACCGAACAAAAGAUACUGGACACCUGGAAAGGUUAGCUCCAGAAAGAUUCAAGUCCUGAAUGUAAAAGGACAACUUAUGAAGCUAAUAGAAGCAGCUGUGGAAAAUAUCUUUUUAACCAUCCGCCAUGGCUUUUCUGAACCAUGUGUUUAAAAAAUAAACACACACACACAACAAAAUGAUGGAUUUGAUUACAUUAAAGAUUUCUGUGCUGAGAAUGGCAACAGACAGGAGAUGUAUGCAAACCAAAUGGAUGAUUACAUAAGAACUCCUCCAAAUUCACAGUAGUGAAAUAACAUGAAACCCAAUUUUUAAAAAAUGAACCAAAUAUAUGAACUGGCUAUUCACAGGAGAAAUCUGAAUAGCUGAAAAAUAUAAAGAGAUGCUCAAGAAAAAUGUAAGUAAGUGCAUUAGGACAAGGGCUGUUAAAAAAAAAAAAAGUAAGAACAAGAGAUUACUUUACACUUAUCAUGCUAAUAGGACAGCAGGGUAAUUCCAAGUGUUGGCCAGAACGUCAGGAUAAGGAGUCCUCAGACACAGGCAACCUAGCAGUGGUGCUCUAGAGACCAGCAUAUCCUGCCUCUGUGACUACACAAUGACACUCCUCAGUACCCAGAGAAACACACAGGUUCCUGAAGGGACGUAGGAGGAUGUGAUCUGUGUCCUAUUUGGAAUAUCAAGGGGAUGAAGGCAAUGGAAGUAGCUACCACUUGGUGAAUUAGACAAACUCUUAAUGUAAAAAACCACCAUCAGAGCCACCCUGGAGUUAUGGCAAGGCCAUCACAGUCUUCUCCAAAGGCCACUGAUAUGGAACUGGGAACCUCCCUCCAUAGAAUGCUAAAUUGCUGAUGUGAACUUGGUUAAGGAUCUAUAAUUCUUCUUAUGAAGAUGGAGUCUCGCUCUGUCACCAGGCUGGACUACAGAGGCACAAUCUUGGCUCAUUGUAACCUCCGCCUCCCGGGUUCAAGUGAUUCUUCUGCCUCAGCCUCCUGAGUAGCUAGGACUACAGGUUAAAAUGGAGUUAAAAUUCACAGUGAACAGAUAAGAAGACCUCUUCACUGAUUUGUCAGAGUUACAACUCCCAAGCAGCUGGAGAGCACUAACGAUAAAAGGACCAACCCUCAACUCUGGCUUUCUGUCUACACAUCCCUGAAGAUCUGGCAGCUUCUGUUUGCAUCCUUGUCAUAAGACCUCCUCUUCCCUUCAGCAAACCUUCCUAAGAAGUUACAAUCUCAAAGAGGAAAGUUCUGGAAGACCAAAGAAAAUAUGUCAUGAAAUCAAGCCAUUAAGAAGUUCUGACUCCAAAAAAGUAAAGGAGCAUGAGCUACUGUACACACAUACUGGAUUAAGAAAAUGUGGCACAUAUACACCGUGGAAUACUAUGCAGCCAUAAAAAAGGAUGAGUUCAUGUCCUUCGUAGGGACAUGGAUGAAGCUGGAAACCAUCAUUCUCAGCAAACUAUCGCAAGGACAAAAGCCAAACACCGCAUGUUCUCACUCAUAGAAGAGAACCAUCUUAAAACCAUGAGGUGACAUGCAUGAGGACAAAGACUUCCUGCUUGUUCUUGAGCCACUGAGGGCACCUCUGAGUUGCUGUACCACCCAGAAAAUGCUAUCCCUGAACUUCUUGUUGACUGAGACAAAUAAACCCCUUAUUUAAACCAC